rnacentral:misc_RNA from 1 species
AAGUCGUAACAAGGUUUCCGUAGGUGAACCUGCGGAAGGAUCAUUACUGAGAUAGGGUCCUUCGGGGCCCGACCUCCAACCCUUUGUCUACCUUACCACUGUUGCCUCGGCGGGUCGUUGACGCUCCUCACGGGGUGUUCACCGUUGGUCUCUUUGAGGCUCUCGAGUGCCCGCCGCCAGGCCCCAAUUAAAACCUUUGUAAACCCGUUAUCUGAGAGUAAAUUAAAUACUUCAAAA